CUUAAAUUUCUCCUUCUCCCAUAAUCUUCCGUCUGCCGCGUGGUAAUCUGAAAAGCCCUAACUUGUUCGACAUCAUCUCUUCCGUCUGCGUGGUGUUCAUCGUCGCUCGCAAGCCGCUGCCGCCUCUUCUGUCUGCGUGUCGUUUCGUCGUUGCCCGUGGUUGCUCGUGUUGAUCGUCGCUCAUUGCUCAUGGUUGCACGUUCUGUUCGUGGUCGCUCGCAAGCAGGUUUACUUGGCAUUGGAAGCUGGCUAUUUCGAAAAAGUUGAUGAACUUUGCAAUAGGUACUCCCUUAGGGUUUUCUGAAUAUCAAAGAACGUGAGGGAAGUUAUGGAAAAAAGUUAUCGAACCACUAUCUGAAUCUUAAUCAACUAAUUGCUGGAGAUAUUUUAUGGGUUGACAAUGUUGAUGCUUUACAUCAUGCAACACGCCAUAUCGAAGAGUGUAAAGUAUUUUAGACAUGUAUAUUUUGUUUAUAUUAUACAAGAAAAGGUUCAUAUUGUAGCUUAGACAUGUAUGUGGUUCAUUGAUAUAUAUAUAUAUGCAAUUUCUUUGAUGGAAA